GAAUACAUACUUCAUAGUGACAGUGAGUUGGAGCAGGUCAAAAAAUACUGCGGCGCAUAGGGAAAGAGGAGCAUUGUAUUCUUUCAAAGGAUCUGCGCUGUAGAUUAAUUAGAAAUACAGUGACCAACAUAGUGCCCAUACUGAGGACAACAACAAAGGAAGACAAAUAUACCCCCAAACAUGAGGGUUCUUCAAUGGCAAAACGUAUAGUCAAGUAUUAUCCAAAGCUAUAUGCAGCUGAAGAUCAAAAUUCAUGGGUGAGUGAACCUGUGUUUAAACAAUUCCUGAAAAGGCUACAGAAUAUCUGCACACCUCAGAAGCGACAGGAUUGUAUGCCUCAAAUAAAUAAAGAGAUGUCUCAGCGUCACCACUGACAAGCCUGAUGCUGCUGAAGUCGAGAAUUCAGGCAAGGCCGAUUCCACUGCAUCUUCGGGGAAUUCUAUUGCUUCAGCGAUGCUUGUUAACGUGUCACCUUCUAGUCGUACCCAAGAAGUUACAGCAGAGAAAGAAUGUGAACCAUCUGCUGUUGACACAAUAGUUGACAGCCACUAAAUACAGGCCAGGCACUACAAAACACUACAGGACCUUUACAAGAAGCCAAAGCCAAAUAAAUUUGCA